CCUGUUAAAACAAACAAAACUAUAUACAAAUCCCAAACCAAAAACUCGAUCUUCCAUCGAUUUUCAAUUCAAAAUUCCCUUCUAAAAUUCAAUCAACAAAAAUCUUUAAUUCUUUUAUAAUUAUCAGGUCUUCAAGAUUUUGCUCGAAUUGCUCCGUUAAAAAAUGGCUCAAGCUGUAGAGGAAUGGUACAAGCAGAUGCCAAUUAUCACCCGUUCUUAUCUCACGGCGGCUAUUGUCACCACAAUUGGAUGUUCCCUUGAAAUAAUAUCUCCUCAUAAUCUUUAUUUGCAUCCUACAUUGGUUGUUAAGAAUUAUCAGUUCUGGCGUCUCGUCACAAAUUUCCUCUACUUCAGGAAAAUGGACCUGGACUUUUUGUUCCAUAUGUUCUUUCUUGCUCGAUACUGCAAACUUCUAGAAGAGAAUUCAUUCAGGGGGAGGACAGCUGAUUUCUUUUACAUGCUCAUAUUUGGUGCCACUGUUUUGACUGGCAUUGUUCUUGUUGGUGUUACGAUACCUUAUUUGUCAGAGUCGUUUGCGAAAAUCAUAUUUCUUAGUAACUCAUUGACGUUCAUGAUGGUUUAUGUCUGGAGCAAGCAAAAUCCUUUUAUCCACAUGAGCUUCCUGGGUCUCUUUACCUUUACAGCAGCUUACCUGCCAUGGGUUCUGCUAGGAUUCUCUGUGCUUGUUGGUGCUAGCGCUUGGGUGGAUCUUCUGGGAAUGAUAGCUGGUCAUGCUUACUAUUUUCUGGAGGCUAUAUAUCCACGAAUGACUGGUCGCAGGCCCUCACGAACCCCAUCAUUUAUAAUAUCGCUAUUUUCUGAUGAUGCUGUCGUAGUAGCACGGCCAGCAAAUGUAAGGUUCGCUUUGCUACCUAUUGAGGAAUUGCAUGAAGAUUGAGAGGAUCGUAGCGACAUAGGCCAAUAAACGAUAGCUUUUUGAUGGAUUCAUGUGCUUACUGCAAGUGAGAUCAGCACUUUGAUGUUCUCUUGGGACAUGUGGCUUCAUUUGAGAGGUCAUGUUGCUUUCGAGGAUUCCAUUAGAUGGCGCAGCAAUUUAAAAAGGUUGGAAGAUUGUUUUGCAGAGCAGUGGAAUAUGAUUCUGAUGGUAUGAUUAAAGCUCAAAUUGUUAGGUUUAGAUCAUCUCCUGUUGUUCAGGUACAAAUAUUUUUUCUACUAAUAAGGAGUAAAAUAAAUAUUCCCACUAACUGACAUUGUUUUAUUGUUCAAUGUUUAGUAAUUGACCAAGUAUAUAUCUAAAAGGUACUUUAAUUACUAGAAGAAUCCUCUCAUGGUCUAUCAUCUGUUUAAGUUUCCGCGUUUGCUCUACUGUAAAACAUGCAUGAUUAGUAGCUUAUAUUUUCACCCACAACAUACAACGUUCAUGGCGAGUGACUAAAGCUUUUGAACAUGACCUGGAAGACGUCAAUGAAGAAAUUAUUUCAGCAGAGGGCGGCUCCAUUUCGAGGAGUAAAACAGUCUGGUUUUCGAAAGAAGGCUCCAAGUAUGCGAUGGAUGACAAUUUGGAGUCUUACAGGUUUAUGGACAUUCGAGCAUCCUCCAAGCUGCAAAGAGCAUUAUGCAAUCUCAAGGAUCGAAGAUGAGUCGAGAUGAGUUUGACUGAAUUUAUCUCUCUUUCCUUACUAUGUUAAGGAUUAUGAUUUUGGUGUUGUUUGGUUAUCUUUUUUUAUAGGUUAUGUGGCUUUCGAGGAUUCCAUUAGAUGGUGGAGCAAUAUGAAAAUGUGAUUCUAUAAAUUAUUGUUUUUUCCGCUCUUGUUUAAAGAUCUAAUUCCUUUGUAAAGGUGGGAAAAUUGUUUGCAGAGCUGUGAAAUAUGAUUCUGAUGGUAUUAUUUAGACUCUAGUUGUUUGAUCUCCUUUUGUUCAGGUACAUGUGUUUUUUUUUUACUCAUAGGGAGUUCAAUAUUUAGUGAUUGACCAAGUAUAUAUCUACAAGUAAUUUAAUAACUAAAAGAAACCUCUCAUGGUAUAUUAUCUGUUUGAGCAUAAAUGAUUUCCUUGUUUGCUCUAUCGUUAAAUAUUCAGGAUUAGCAUCAUUAAUUUUCAGCAACAACGUACAUACAACGUUCAUGGCAAGUGGCUACAUGGACCUGUAGAAGGGAUUACUUCAAUAGAGCCUGGUCUGGGAAGCGAAGGCUCCAAGUAUGCGAUGGAUGACAAUUGAAAGGAUUCCAUUAGAUGGCGGAGCAAAGGUGAUUCUAUAAGUCCUUGUACUUUCAGCUCUUUUUUAAACAUCUAAUUUGUUUUGUCAUGCUUUCUAACGGUGGGUAGAUUGUGUAGUGGAGGGGUGGAAUAUGAUUCUGAUGGUAUUACUAAACCUCUAGUUGUUUGAUGUCCUUUUUGUUCAGGAUAGCAACAUUAAUUUUCAGCAACAACAUACAACGUUCAUGGCGAGUGGCUACAUGGCCUUGUAGAAGGAAUUACGUUAAUAGAGGUGCUCAGUUUAGAGGAGUUAAACAAUUUGGUCUAGCUAGGGAAUACUCCAAGUAUUCGAUGGAUGAUAAUUUGGGGAUAAGCUAUUAUUCAAACAUUCUCGGAA